rnacentral:rRNA from 1 species
AGCAGCCGCGGUAAUUCCAGCCCCAAUAGCGUAUAUUAAAGUUGUUGCAGUUAAAAAGCUCGUAGUUGAAUUUCGGGAUUGGCGCAUCGGUCGUGCCUCACGGGGUAUGAACUGGUGCAGUCAAUUUCUCACCUUCUGGAGAACCGCGAUGUCCUUAAUUGGAUGCCGCGGGGAACCAGGACCUUUACUUUGAAAAAUUAGAGUGUUUAAAGCAGGCAUUUUUGCUUGAAUACAUUAGCAUGGAAUAAUAAAAUAGGACGGCAUGGUUCUAUUUUGUUGGUUUCUAGGACCACCGUAAUGAUUAAUAGGGAUAGUUGGGGCAUUAGUAUUCAAUUGUCAGAGGUGAAAUUCUUGGAUUUAUUGAAGACUAACUACUGCGAAAGCAUUUGCCAAGGAUGUUUUCAUUAAUCAAGAACGAAAGUUAGGGGAUCGAAGACGAUCAGAUACCGUCGUAGUCUUAACCAUAAACUNUAGCCGACUAGGGAUCGGAUGAUGUUAAUUUUAAUGACUCAUUC